UUACGGUCAUAUCACGUUGAAACACCGUACGAUCACUGAAGUUAAGCAACGUCGAGUCUGGUCAGUACCUAGAUGGGUGACCGCUUGGGAAUACCAGAUGCUGUAAG